rnacentral:rRNA from 1 species
GACGUUGAUAGGCCGGGUGUGUAAGUGCAGCGAUGCGUUGAGCUAACCGGUACUAAUGAACCGUGAGGCUUAACCUUACAACGCCGAAG